rnacentral:rRNA from 1 species
GUGAGUAACGCGUACCGAACCUGCCCAUCACACAGGGAUAGGCUUGCGAAAGCAAGAUUAAUACCUGAUGGUCUCAGUUGUAUGCAUGUAUGAUUGAGUAAAGCCUUCGGGCGGUGAUGGAUGGCGGUGCGUCCCAUUAGGAAGUUGGCGGGGUAACGGCCCACCAAUCCUUCGAUGGGUAGGGGUUCUGAGAGGAAGGUCCCCCACCAUUGGAACUGAGAUACGGUCCAA